rnacentral:rRNA from 1 species
AUUGAACGCUGGCGGCAUGCCUUACACAUGCAAGUCGAACGGCAGCACGGAGCUUGCUCUGGUGGCGAGUGCGAACGGGUGAGUAAUAUAUCGGAACGUACCCUAGAGUGGGGGAUAACGUAGCGAAAGUUACGCUAAUACCGCAUACGAUCUAAGGAUGAAAGUGGGGGAUCGCAAGACCUCAUGCUCGUGGAGCGGCCGAUAUCUGAUUAGCUAGUUGGUAGGGUAAAAGCCUACCAAGGCAUCGAUCAGUAGCUGGUCUGAGAGGACGACCAGCCACACUGGAACUGAGACACGGUCCAGACUCCUACGGGAGGCAGCAGUGGGGAAUUUUGGACAAUGGGCGAAAGCCUGAUCCAGCAAUGCCGCGUGAGUGAAGAAGGCCUUCGGGUUGUAAAGCUCUUUUGUCAGGGAAGAAACGGUGAAAGCUAAUAUCUUUUGCUAAUGACGGUACCUGAAGAAUAAGCACCGGCUAACUACGUGCCAGCAGCCGCGGUAAUACGUAGGGUGCAAGCGUUAAUCGGAAUUACUGGGCGUAAAGCGUGCGCAGGCGGUUUUGUAAGUCUGAUGUGAAAUCCCCGGGCUCAACCUGGGAAUUGCAUUGGAGACUGCAAGGCUAGAAUCUGGCAGAGGGGGGUAGAAUUCCACGUGUAGCAGUGAAAUGCGUAGAUAUGUGGAGGAACACCGAUGGCGAAGGCAGCCCCCUGGGUCAAGAUUGACGCUCAUGCACGAAAGCGUGGGGAGCAAACAGGAUUAGAUACCCUGGUAGUCCACGCCCUAAACGAUGUCUACUAGUUGUCGGGUCUUAAUUGACUUGGUAACGCAGCUAACGCGUGAAGUAGACCGCCUGGGGAGUACGGUCGCAAGAUUAAAACUCAAAGGAAUUGACGGGGACCCGCACAAGCGGUGGAUGAUGUGGAUUAAUUCGAUGCAACGCGAAAAACCUUACCUACCCUUGACAUGGCUGGAAUCCUUGAGAGAUCAGGGAGUGCUCGAAAGAGAACCAGUACACAGGUGCUGCAUGGCUGUCGUCAGCUCGUGUCGUGAGAUGUUGGGUUAAGUCCCGCAACGAGCGCAACCCUUGUCAUUAGUUGCUACGAAAGGGCACUCUAAUGAGACUGCCGGUGACAAACCGGAGGAAGGUGGGGAUGACGUCAGGUCCUCAUGGCCCUUAUGGGUAGGGCUUCACACGUCAUACAAUGGUACAUACAGAGCGCCGCCAACCCGCGAGGGGGAGCUAAUCGCAGAAAGUGUAUCGUAGUCCGGAUUGUAGUCUGCAACUCGACUGCAUGAAGUUGGAAUCGCUAGUAAUCGCGGAUCAGCAUGUCGCGGUGAAUACGUUCCCGGGUCU